rnacentral:rRNA from 1 species
UGAGGAAUAUUGGUCAAUGGGUGCAAGCCUGAACCAGCCAUCCCGCGUGAAGGACGACUGCCCUAUGGGUUGUAAACUUCUUUUGUAUAGGGAUAAACCUACCCUCGUGAGGGUAGCUGAAGGUACUAUACGAAUAAGCACCGGCUAACUCCGUGCCAGCAGCCGCGGUAAUACGGAGGGUGCAAGCGUUAUCCGGAUUUAUUGGGUUUAAAGGGUCCGUAGGCGGACUUAUAAGUCAGUGGUGAAAGCCUGUCGCUUAACGAUAGAACUGCCAUUGUUACUGUAAGUCUUGAGUAUAUUUGAGGUAGCUGGAAUAAGUAGUGUAGCGGUGAAAUGCAUAGAUAUUACUUAGAACACCAAUUGCGAAGGCAGGUUACCGAGAUAUAACUGACGCUGAGGGACGAAAGCGUGGGGAGCGAACA